GACGAACGCUGGCGGCGUGCCUAAUACAUGCAAGUAGAACGCUGAAGCUUGGUGCUUGCACCGAGCGGAUGAGUUGCGAACGGGUGAGUAACGCGUAGGUAACCUGCCUGGUAGCGGGGGAUAACUAUUGGAAACGAUAGCUAAUACCGCAUAAUAGUAGAUGUUGCAUGACAUUUGCUUAAAAGGUGCAAUUGCAUCACUACCAGAUGGACCUGCGUUGUAUUAGCUAGUUGGUGAGGUAACGGCUCACCAAGGCAACGAUACAUAGCCGACCUGAGAGGGUGAUCGGCCACACUGGGACUGAGACACGGCCCAGACGCCUACGGGAGGCAGCAGUAGGGAAUCUUCGGCAAUGGACGGAAGUCUGACCGAGCAACGCCGCGUGAGUGAAGAAGGUUUUCGGAUCGUAAAGCUCUGUUGUAAGAGAAGAACGAGUGUGAGAGUGGAAAGUUCACACUGUGACGGUAGCUGACCAGAAAGGGACGGCUAACUACGUG
rnacentral:rRNA from 1 species